CCUACGGGAGGCAGCAGUGGGGAAUCUUGCGCAAUGGGCGAAAGCCUGACGCAGCAACGCCGCGUGCGGGAUGAAGGCCUUCGGGCUGUAAACCGCUUUCAGCAGGAACGAAAAUGACGGUACCUGCAGAAGAAGGAGCGGCCAACUACGUGCCAGCAGCCGCGGUGACACGUAGGCUCCAAGCGUUGUCCGGAUUUAUUGGGCGUAAAGAGCUCGUAGGCGGUCUAAUAAGUCGGGUGUGAAAACUCUGGGCUCAACCCGGAGACGCCAUCCGAUACUGUUAUGACUUGAGUUCAGGAGGGGAGCGGGGAAUUCCUAGUGUAGCGGUGAAAUGCGCAGAUAUUAGGAGGAACACCGGUGGCGAAGGCGCCGCUCUGGACUGAAACUGACGCUGAGGAGCGAAAGCAUGGGUAGCAAACAGGAUUAGAUACCCUGGUAGUCCAUGCCGUAAACGGUGGGCACUAGGUGUGGGUUUCACUACGAAUCCGNGCCGUCGCUAACGCAUUAAGUGCCCGCCUGGGAGUACGGUCGCAGACUAAACUCAAAGGAUUGAGGCUUGNGAGNGCGAGCGCGACGAGGGAGAG
rnacentral:rRNA from 1 species